UCUUGUCCCGACUUCCGCCAAAACGAAUAAUUAAUACAAUUGUAAUCAAGGUUGUCAAUCUCGAGAGUUUACGUAAUCUCGUGGAGGCUCCGUAAACUCGUAUCGUAAACUCGUAAGAGAUUACUCAAUAAUAAAUAAAUAAAUAAAUAAAUAAAUAAAAAUAACAUAAUAAUUAAUGUGUUACAUCAAUUAUUAAUAUGUUAUGUCAAUUGUCUAUGUGAUAUAUUAGUAAUUAAUAUAAAUAUAAAUACACGUUGAAAACUUUUUUAGAUUAAGGAUAUUUCUGUAUGAAAAAAAUAGGGGUGAAAGUGCAAAAAUUAUGGGCCGUGUAAACAGCAUUGAUGAGCCCACUUAAAUUCGGGGCCAAUAUACAAAACUAGCCCAUCAAACCUGAUCCAACGAGACACGACCGGUGUGCAUCCUGAACCGGGUUUAACGAACAAAAUUGCAAGAAUCGAAGAAGUUAGAAGCUAGUUAGAUCAAACAUCUAAAUAGAGAUCGGAGAAGAAGAAGAGAAGAGAAUGGGAACGACGGUGGCGGGUCUAGCACCGGGUCUGUCACGGAAGCUGAAGAAGGUUCUAGAAUCGAGGAUCGACAUGUCUGAUCUCUUGUCUUCGCUCAACUCGCGCAGACCAGGUGUUCCGCUCGCAGUGGAGUCGCGCGGACCAGGUGUUGCGCUCAAGGUGGAGUCGCGCGUAGGGGAGAGGAGACUCGCGGAGGUGUCGCACGGAGAGGAGAGAAGAUGCGCGGAGGUGUCGUACGAAGGAGGUGAGGCGCGCGGAGGAGUCGCGCAGAGGAGGUGAGGCGCACGGAGGAUUGAAAAAAAAUGGUGAUCUCUUAAUAUCGGAGGUAGUCUCGCGAGUUUACACGAGUUUACCCGAGUUCACCGAGAUUGCUCCGAGUUCACUAAAAAACGAGUUUACCUCCGAGUUGUACAGGUAAGCUCUUGUAAACUCGUAAACUCGUACGAGUUUACGAGUUGUCACUAGAGAUUGACAACCAUGAUUGUAAUAAAUAUAUUUGGUACUUUGUACUCCACCACCAGCUGAGAGUAAGUAUGCCACCUUCAGUUUCCAAAUGUAUACAACAUGGAAUUCUUGUUUAA